rnacentral:rRNA from 1 species
AUAGCGUAUAUUAAAGUUGUUGAGGUUAAAAAGCUCGUAGUUGAACCUUGGGCCUAGCCGGCCGGUCCGCCUCACCGCGUGCACUGGCUCGGCUGGGCCUUUCCUUCUGGAGAACCGCAUGCCCUUCACUGGGUGUGCCGGGGAACCAGGACUUUCACUCUGAAUAAAUUAGAUCGCUUAAAGAAGGCCUAUGCUCGAAUACAUUAGCAUGGAAUAAUAGAAUAGGACGUGUGGUUCUAUUUUGUUGGUUUCUAGGACCAAAGUAAUGAUUAAUAGGAUCAGUUGGGGGCAUUCGUAUUUAAUUGUCAGAGGUGAAAUUCUUGGAUUUAUUAAAGACGAACUUCUG